ACCAACAGACACUACUCUCACAAUCUGAGACUUUCUGAAUUCUCUCUUUCUCUGCUAUUACUCUGCUUUCUUAUUUAGCCGAUUGAGUAGCCUGGGUUGAUUACUUUACACCACUGGGUCCUAUUGUUUGUCUACUUGGGUCUUUUGCUGCUGCUAUUCCCACAUUGCUGUUGAUAUUCUCAUAUUGCUGUUGCUAUUCCCACAUUGCUGCUGCUAUUCUCAUAUUGCUACUGCUAUUUUCAUACUACCAUUAUUCUCUCUGCUGCUUACAUUCUCUGCUCACCUUGUUCCUCUGUGCAUUAUUGUUAUUAAGGUCUAUCACUUGCAACUGGUAUGUCACCCCUUUAAGAUACAGUUUCCACAACAAUAUGUUUCUAUUGGUUUUGCAUUUCAUAAUGUUUCUUGUAUGCUUUUAUUUAUGGUUUGUUGCUCUUUUUGUCACUAGCAUGUUACUUACUAGUCUAUUUGGUUCAGUUUAACAUGCCCCCUACCCCCUUUGUCCUUGUCUCAAUAUAUGUUUUCCUCUUUCAUGUGCACUACUUCUUGGGUACUUAACAGCUAUGAAAACUCUCCCUAAGGUUGAUUGUAUUUGGGGUUUGGUACAGUAAGAACUAAACCCUUGUUUUACAACCAUGUUUGAUUACUUUCCCCAACAUGUUGUCUGUACACCUAACUUAUUUGCUCUUUACUUAUUUGCUCUCUUACCCCCUCCCCCCGUCUCAAUGAAUGUUUACUUUUUCCUUGUGUGCUACUACCAUGCAUCCAGGUAUGCGUGGCUACUUGUUAACCUAAAACCCCUGUUUGAGGCUAAGUGUGUUAGAGUUUGGUAUAGUAAGAGCUGAACUCUUGUUGCAACCAUGGCUGGUUACUUUUAAUAUGUUGCCCGUGUAAGUACUUUAAUUUGCCUUUUUGUUCCCUUCCCAUUUUCUCUUAUUUGUAUGAUGCUCUGUUAUUCUAAAUCUCAUCUGUCUAAAUUAUUUCAGAGGAACUUUUGAAACUCCUUCAAAUAUUUUUUUACUGUCUCAAACUUCUCCAACUCUUUCAAAUCUUUUCUUAAGCUGUCUCAACUUUUUCUUCAAUUCUUUCAACUGCUUUCUUAAACUAUCUCUCAACUGUUUUCAACUCUCUCAAUUCUAAUCACAAUCUCAUUAUUAGAGCAUUAGGGUAUGCCCCCUUAGUGUAAGCACUGCCUUGGGAGCCUUGAGCACCCAUGGAACUCUGAUGCACAAGGCUGGAACUUCCAUGGUUGCACUUGUCCAAUUGGGAUAUUUUGGGUGCUUGCUAUUUGCCAGGGGUUCAAACGAACCCAUAGGGAACUUCGCAUUUGUCCAAUUGGGAUAUUUAUGUGCUUGGUAUUGGCCAAGGGUUCAAACGAACCCUUAGGGAACUUUGCCGCACCCAAGCCUUUGUAAUGGAUGUGAAACUCGAAAGACGUGAGGUUGGAGAUGCUUGGGCCUGGCUAAGCUUCUUCUUUUCUUUCACUGCUGUAUUUUAUAAAUUACUUGGUUUGUAAUAACUUGUAAAGAACAAUGGGGAUUAUAGUAAAAUUGGGGAGGGUUAUGCAUGAUUAUUAAAGGUAUGUGUAGAAAACAUGUUUAUAGGAUUUACUUAUCUAUUUGCGCAAUAAAAAACAUGUAUAGGACAUGCAUCUCACAUAUAGAAAUCUUGUUCUUAGGUCUUUUUCUUUCAGCUUAUUAUUUUUAUAAUCAUAAUCAGUUAAUAAUCAAAUUACUACCUUGCAUUUUGAUACCAUGUUUUAGGGCCUCUAUAUGCAUUAGAUAUCAUGUACUUAGAGUCUUUCUUUUCUUUUUUUACAACUGUUGAAUGCCUCACUAAUUUUGUUAAAUAGACGUAAGACUAAUUAACAAACUCCUUGUUAAAACUAGAAAUCAUUGCAUGCUCAACGUCUUUAAUAACUCAUAGGCAAGCCUUACGCCGGAUAAAUAUAAAAUGGGCUAAUCACCUUCAAAUUAGUUCGCCUCUGUCUGAAUUUGUAUGUUUCAGAAGCCCUCUCUAUUAUUUUACAAACUUUUGCCACAUUUUUUAAACCAUAUAUGCAAAAAGGUUUCUACUGUAUUUUCUUGUCAAGAUUUGGACCACUAUUUCAACUAUCUGAGUGCUAAUUUUCAAAAGCUCAAAAAGCCUGUGUGUUUGCUAUUUUUCUUUACGCUUCUGCAAUCUCAAAAUUCUUUCACUUUUGUUCUUUUACUACGACUUUCCUAACUAUUUCACUAGGCAUUCCAAAUGUUUCUAAAUGACUUCUGCAGAUAUCUAAAAAACUUAUACUGUCUCUUUUAAGUUCUGAGCGUUUUUCUCUUACGUUCCUUUUCUGCAAACUCUGCAACUUCUGUUUUAAUUUAUGCUCCAGCUUCCUUUUAAAAAAAACUCUCUUUAGACCUUACAUGUGUUUAAAUGAUUUAUAUGAUCCCUUUAUAUGCAAGUCCUACUUGUUUUGUAUGUCGCUUAGUACUAUUAACUUUUAAACUUAAGGGUUCAACCUUGUUCCUACCUUAUAGGAAUAAUGAUCCUGAAUGCCCUAUAGGAUCUAUAGGACGGGAUAGGUAAUAGCACGCAAUAAGUAUUCGUGACCAAUUCACACGCUUAAAUAACCUCUAAGGGGUGGGAAGGGUAGAAUAUGGUGAUGAUGACGAUGCGAU
rnacentral:lncRNA from 1 species